rnacentral:rRNA from 1 species
CCUACGGGGGGCAGCAGUGGGGGAUAUUGCACAAUGGGGGGAACCCUGAUGCAGCGACGCCGCGUGGGUGAAGGAGCGUUUCGGCGCGUGAAGCCCUAUCGGCAGGGAAGAAGGAGGACGGUACCUGACUAAGAAGCCCCGGCUAACUACGUGCCAGCAGCCGCGGUAAUACGUAGGGGGCAAGCGUUAUCCGGAUUUACUGGGGGUAAAGGGGGCGCAGGCGGCAGCGCAAGCCAGGAGUGAAAGCCCGGGGCCCAACCCCGGGACUGCUCUUGGAACUGGGCGGCUUGAGUGCAGGAGGGGCAGGCGGAAUUCCUGGUGUAGCGGUGAAAUGCGUAGAUAUCAGGAGGAACACCGGUGGCGAAGGCGGCCGGCUGGACUGCGACUGACGUUGAGGCCCGAAAGCGUGGGGAGCAAACAGGAUUAGAUACCCUUGUAGUC